AACAUUGAGAAAGGAGGUGAUCCAGUGUCUAGAGAAGCAUUGGAGAAAGGUGUCGGAACAGUUCGGGAGCAGGCGAGCUAGGGCAGCCCCUGGCGCGCACCGCGCCCGAAUUGGCGAAAGCCCUAACCGGCCACCGCCUCCGAAUUCUCGAAGGGCCGCUCCAGAAACCGGAGCGGCCCU
rnacentral:sRNA from 1 species